rnacentral:lncRNA from 1 species
AAGUGUUUUACUUGACUAUGAAUCCAGGUUUUUUUGGUCACAUUUCUGUAGUUCAUUUAGUAACAUCAAGUAUUUUACUUGACUAGUAAUACAGGUUUUUUUGGUCACAUUUCUGUAGUUAUUUAGUAACACCAAGUGUUUUACUUGACUAGGAAUCCAGGUUUUUUGGUCACAUUUCUGUAGUUCAUUUAGUAACACCAAGUGUUUUACUUGACUAGGAAUCCAGGUUUUUUUGGUCACAUUUCUGUAGUUCAUUUAGUAACACCAAGUGUUUUACUUUACUAGGAAUACAGGUUUUUUUGGUCACAUUUCUGUAGUUCAUUUAGUAACAUCAAGUGUUUUACUUGACUAGGAAUCCAGGUUUUUUGGUCACAUUUCUGUAGUUCAUUUAGUAAUAUAAAGUGUUUUACUUGAAUAGUAAUCCAGGUUUUUUGGUCACAUUUCUGUAGUUUAUUUGGUAAUAUCAUCAGGUUUCUUUUUGAUUAGAUUUGAACAAUACUCAAUAGUGACUUUUAGUUUCCAACAUAUCUUAUUUUCAUACUGGAGUGGGCAGGCAUUUAGGAAAGAGAAACAAACUUUACUCGUGAUAGCAUUUGAUCACUAACAGAUAAGGUCCAAAAACUUCCCUAAACAUUGCAUUUAUUUAUAGAUCAUAAAGAGUUUUCUUUAAAAAUACAGGUAUCAUCCAGUGAAGAGAUGAUGCGAUGGAAAUGUUUAGUAACCUGACUGUGCAAUUGCAAAUGAACUAUAAUUAUAUUUGUCAAACAGCUGAAAAAAAUGUUUUAAUUUUAGAAACUCAAGAAGGUUAAGCUUAAAGUUUUUCUUCACAACGAUAUACUCAAACCAGAUAGCUAAGACUGCUUUUAACUUAAGAAACUGUGUUGUUUAUCAUCUUUUGAAUAUUUAGGCUUUUAUAACUUCCUGCCCUCUGAGGAGUCCACAAAGAAAACAAUGUCCACUUACACCUAACUCUAAGUUGAGUAUUAGAAAAUCUUUAAAUGCUAAUUUUUUAUUUUGAUUUAUUUCUGCCAAAGGAUUUUAAACUCGUUUGAAAGUACAAGUUUCCUUGAAUUUAUAUUAGUAGUAUUUCACAUAUCAAGUUAUUUGUACAUUUCAUAUCUCAGAAUUAUUCAAUUACAAUUAAAGUUAGUAUUUCCAAUAACAUUAAACAAUCUUAUGUCACGUCUUUGUAAAGCUAACCAAUUUGAUCAACUUUUUUUUUAUUAAACCAAUCAAAUUUCUCUUUGUUCAUCAUUAUUAGCCAAUAUAAACAAGAUCUUUAGUCAAGAAACCAGAGUUUUCUAAAUUUACAGAAACAUCGAAUUUAAAUUGCAUAAUACACCCAAGUUACACAUACUAAACAGUUUGCUGUAUAAGAUAAAAUCUACGGGUUCUGUAAAUGUGUUACGUUUUGGUAAACUUGAAACACGUAAUAGAUGCUAGAAUAAGUAAACAUAUUGAUAACUCUAUGUUAAAAAGUGUUUAGGUCUUAGCAGCUUGGAUAAAAACAUUUGUUAUCUGUCUGCUAGUGUUACGAGAUUUCAAGUACUUACGAGGUGCAUUCACAAAUUUUCCUUUUGUUUAUCUCCUGUAGAGGAUCGUAUUUAAUUCAAGUUGGUAUAAUUAUUUAAGCUUAUAUUAACAUCUAGUUUCUCUUCAUAAAAUUGUUUGUUUUCAGUGUUAUUGUUACACUUGUAAAUAAAUAGAAAAUGUUUCACUGGAAUUGUUACUAUUGGAGUUAAAAACCUAAUAUGUAUGAUAGUAUGUAUCUGGCUGGUUUGUUGACUGAUGUAAUAAAUUUGUUCAAAAA